GACGAACGCUGGCGGCGUGCCUAACACAUGCAAGUCGAACGGAAAGGCCCUGCUUUUGUGGGGUGCUCGAGUGGCGAACGGGUGAGUAACACGUGAGUAACCUGCCCUUGACUUUGGGAUAACUUCAGGCAACUGGGGCUAAUACCGGAUAGGAGCUCCUGCUGCAUGGUGGGGGUUGGAAAGUUUCGGCGGUUGGGGAUGUACUCGCGGCUUAUCAGCUUGUUGGUUGGGUAGUGGCUGACCAAGGCAUGGACGGGUAGCCGGCCUGAGAGGGUGACCGGACACAUUAGGACUGAGAUGCGACCCAGACUCGUACGGGAGGCAACGGUGGAGAGGAGUGUACAGUGGGCGGGAGCCUGGUGCGGCAACGCCGCGUGGGGUAUGACGGCCAUCGGGUUGUGAAGCGCUGUCGCCUGAGACGAGGCGUUAGUGACGGUAACGGGUGAAUAAGCACCGGCUAACUACGUG
rnacentral:rRNA from 1 species